CACUGGCAGUUUGUUUAAAGUAACACAUCAGCCCACAAUGAUUCAACAUUUAUUCAACAUACGGAAGUUCCCAGGUCAGGGACAGAACUUGAGCCACAGCUGCAACAUACACCACAGCUCAGCAAUGCCAGAUCCAUAACACACUGCACUGGGCCAGGCAUUGAACCUGUGCCUCAGCAGUGACCAGAGCAGCUAGAGAGACAACAUUGGAUCCUUAACUAGCUGCACCACACUGGGAACCUCCUUGAAAAUACUUUUUGCACAGUGCCCCAAGUAGAUCUAUUGCCUUUGUUUUCUUUUGAUGUAGCCUUUUUGUUUUUUGUUCUGAUAGCAUCCUUCUUUUUUGGCAAUGAGAUGUUUCAGCUAAUCUAUAUUUCUAUAUUUCCUCCUGCAGCUUUUGCUGCUUUUAUUUUUUUUUUAGGGCUACAUCCGUGGCAUAUCGAGGUUCCCAGGCUAGGGGUCGAACUGGGGCUGCAGCUGCCAGCCUACACCACAGCUCACAGAAACACCAGAUCUUAACCCACUGAGCAGGGCCAGGGAUUGAACCCUUGUCCUCAUGGAUAUUAGUCCAGUUCAUUACCACUGAGUCACAAGGGGAAAUCCUUGCUGCUCUUUUUAUCAGUGAAAUGUAUUUAGAGAAAUCAUAAUUUGAAUGCCACGUGAUGGUCACCAUUUCUUGGCCUUUUUAAGAGACAGAGCCAGUAAAAGUUUAGAAAUAAAACUAAUGUAUGUGUUCAUAAUGUAUCUGCGAUUUAAAUUUCUAACACAAGAUACUUGUCUAAUCUGUUUUCUUUUAAACCUAUAUUUUCCUUUUUACUGAAAAUUUUAGUUCCAAUAUAAAGUUAACAUUAUUACUUCUUUCUUAUCCAACUGUGAAUAAAUUAGUUUCAAUGUAAAAACAUCAGCAUUGCUAUUAAGAUAAGGAAGCCGAAUUGAGUUCCAAUAAUUCUUUGCAGCUCAACUUUUCAUACAAACAUAUUGCUCUGUUUUAAUGGAAAAAAAAAUCUAAUAUGUUAUGAAUUAACCUAAACAGAAAAUACAUUUUAAAUCAGCUUCACUAGUUUUGAUUUUUAGAAAUUUUUUUACUUUCUCAUCGAGGUUUUUUGGUUUUGGUUUGUUUUUUUGAUUAUGUAAGACUAUUAAAAAGUUGCGAACUAGAACCUUGCCUUAGCUACCAUCUUCUCCAUUUCAACCCUUUCUGCCCAUAUAGAUAAUUGGGAAAAAAUAUAUGGUGUUCAACAUUCUGCCUUUUUCAGGGAUAAGUACAGGCAUAUCUCAGAGAUACAGCAGAUUGGGUUCCAGACCACUGGAAUAAAGAGAAUAUUGAAAUAAAGCAAGUCACGGGAAUUCUUUGUUUUUCCCAAUAUAUAUAUAACUAUCUUUGUACUAUACUGUAGUCUGUUAAGUGCAACAGUAUUAUGUCUAAAAAAAUCAAUGUAUAUACCUUAAUUAAAAAUUUAUGUAUUGCUAAAAAAUGCUAACCAUCACCUGAACCUUCGGUAAGUCAUAGUAGAAACAUCAGAGAUCACUGAUCUCAAAUCACCUUAACAAAUAAAAUAAUGAAAAAUCUAAAGUGCAAUAAAGAGAAAGACAAAUACCAUAUGAUAUCACUUAUAUGUGGAAUCUAAAAUAUGACACAAAUGAAUUUAUCUACAAAACAGAAACAGGUUCACAGAUAUAGGGGACAUACUUGGGCUUGCAAAAUGGGAAGGGGGUAGGAAAGGGGUGAAGUAAGAGUUUGGGAUUAGCAGAUGUAAACUAUUAUGUAUGGAAUGGAUAAACAACAAGGUCCUACUGUAUGGCAUAAGGAACUCUAGUCAAUAUCCUGUAAUAAUCCAUAAUGGAAAGGAAUAUGAAAAAGAAUAUGACUGAAUCACUUUGCUGUAGAGCAGAGAUUAAGACAACAUUGUAGUUCAACUUUCUUCAAUAAAAUAUGUUAUAUAUCAUAUUAUGAUUAAUUUUUUAAGAGCAACUAAAUAUAAUAACUAUAAGUAGUUAUUACCAUUCUAAUAAGCUAAGAAUAUUUCCUUUUAAUCUUGGGCUAGAUAAGUGCAUAUUUGCCACAAUCAUAUCCCCGGCAGUAAACUAUGUAGCCACUGACAUUUUAUACAAUAUUUGACAAUCUUCAAUAGUUUUCUUUUUCUUGAACCUGCUGCAUAUAGAAGUUCUCGGGCUAAAGGUCAAAUCGGAGCUGCAGCUGCUGGCCUACGCCACAGUCACGGCAACACCAGAUCUGAGCAGCAUCUACCACCUACGCCUGAGCUAGGCCAGGGAUUGAACCCGCAUCCUCACAGAGACAAGGCUGGGUCCUUAACCUGCUAAGCCACAAUUGGGACUCCCAUAUUCUUCAAUAAGUUAAAAAGUAUUUUAAGUAGAAUGAACAUAUGAUAUGAAAAAAUGUAUAUAUAUUCAUAAGACUUGAGAAAUAAUAUAGCAAAUGUGUGUGGGAAAUACUGGGUGUUAAUAUGAUGAUUUUGCAUUUUCACAGUGUUUAAAAUAGCCCUUAGUAAUUUUAUACACCCAAGGAAACAAUACUUAUCUUUCUAAGACAAUGAUAUGAUCAAAUUCCUUUAGAGGUAACUUUUUACCUGUUUAUAUUUCAUUAACUCUGAUAAAUUCGUAUUGCUUCUAAAGAUGCAAUUACAAGCAUGGAGCACUAGGGAAAACAAAAUGGUCACAGAACGUGAGUUCACUAUGUGCUCUGUAGUCUCCCUAUCACUUUCUGGAAGAAAUAGCAAAUGAAAAUGAAUUUUAAGAUAAGCUUUAAUUGGGAAAAGAAUUAGUAAAGUUACAGCAUAACCCUAAGCCUAUGUGUUCCAAAGGGGCUUCAGUCUCCCCUGCUAAAAAUACGUUUUUGAUUUUAUUGGAGAAGGAUUAGGAAAUGAAUAUGGUUGUAAAUGUCCCUGUUGUAUCUUGGAUUUCCUCACCUCCCCUGACUCUCUUCCUAAAUAACAACAUCCAGAGGACAGGAACUAAAUCCUCUAGAAAGAGCCAGGGAAGUGGCAACAUACAAGUGGGUUCAAGACUAGGACAAUCCUUUAUUACCAGGCAAAGGGUACUUUUGCCCUGGAGGAUUUUGUUAAAUGAAUGAUCAUGUAUGGUUUUACUUGUCAUCUGGAAGAAUUACAAAGUACUCACUAAAAUGACCUCAAUUUGUUUAAUUUUUAGAGAAAAUAAAUCCAUGUGUUUUACUAUAUUAAAAAGUUAAAUAUGACUUACCACUGCCUCAGACUGCUAAAUAAAAAUACUAAGUAUUCAUUUAAAUUUAUUUGAUUGAUAAAAUGACCUUUAAAAAAACUAUUAUUUUCUCUAUUUUAAACACUUGAGAAAUAUUAAGUAGUGGAGUUAGAAUUCUAAGUUUUAUACCACACCAUUACACCACUUUACAUCUUUAUUCUUCAUACGUAAUAGACAAAAGCUAUAUACAAAACCAUUAAAAAAGCAGAUUAGCUUUGGUGAUAAGUUCAGCCUUGUUUUUAUUAAUAGGUUUCCUCCUAAAUUCUAACCAAUAGCCAUUACAUUAAAUGUUUUUUCUUGAAAAUCAACUCUCUUUUAAAAAAUGCCACUUGACACUGAGCCGGCAAUUCAAAAUUAGACAAAAGUAUAUAAAAAUAUUCAUGCCCUUUUUGAAAAAUGAAAGCAAUAAGUAAGUCCUCUGUCAAAUGCAACUGACAUAUUGAGGCUUCCUCUGCACUGUGGUGGCAUAUAAGUUACCAAUAUACAAAUAUAUCCAGUUAUAAAUAUAGAUGGCCUUUCUAUGACUAUAUAUUAUUUUAGAUAAGAUGAUAUAUUAAGCAUGCGAAAUUUAGAUUUUGCAGGUGAGGAAUCUAAUCACCCAUGGCAGCUGUCAUAUCUAGAGCAGCAUAUGAGAGGUGGGAGAAAAGUACAAGUAUCAGGGAAAGGAAAGUCCUUUUAAGUAUUAAGGUUUCUCCAACAGAUGGCUUGAUAGCUUCUUUUUCUGUAUUCUACGAAUUCUAAUUUUCACCAUAGUAAAUAUAUUUUAAUAAUGCCUCAUAUGUCAAAUUAAAAUUUGUUGGAGAAAUCAAAUGAUGGAAAGUAGGUUUACAGAAUUUUAAAUAUAGAACUGAAACAUAGUCUCUGGUUCUAUGUCAUACUGGGAGUUGAUGGUUUGAAUUGGCCUGCUGAAUUUCUCUCCUAUGAGAUACCGCAGAUAUGAGAUUUGGGAAAAAGAAUGAAGAUCAAGGGGAAUAUUUAAAAAAUGACUACAAAUAAUAUAUGUAAAUAUUCCACUUUACAGGAGGCAGAGUUUAAUUCCUGUCACCAGCUUCUGAGCCCCUCUACCAAUCCAAUCUUCCACCCCUCCAAGCCCCAGGGUAUUCUACACUUAGUUAUUUGCUUCUAAAAAUAGGAUAAGGAAGGGAAAAUAGUAACAUUAUAAUGAAGGACUGGCAAACACUAGACUGUUAACCUCAGCAGUGAGAUUAUGUGGAUAUAAAGACCCUCAUGAUGGUCUUUACACCUCUGGUAUUCUUUUAAAAAACCCAUUGCCCUAGCCUAAUUGAAGGGAAAAAAAAAAAAAAAAGCCGAAAAAAUACAGGGUAAACUCAAAUUGGGGACAUUCUACAGAAUACUGGCUCAAUGCUCCUUAUGACUAUCACCACAAGAAAAAACAAGGAAAGAAUCAGAAACCAACCAAGACCAGAGGAAAAUAGAGAGAUAAGACAAAUAAAUGCAAUGUGGGACCUGGGUCAGACCCAGAAAUAAAAAGAGGACCUUAACAGGAAAACCAAUGAAACUCAAAUAAGGCUGGAUUUUGGAUUAUAGUAAUGCAUCCUUCCUGUCGUGGUGCAGUGGUUAACGAAUCCGACUAGGAACCAUGAGGUUGCCUUUGCUCAGUGGGUUAAUGAUCCGGCGUUGCCGUGAGCUGUGGUGUAGGUCGCAGACGCAGCUUGGACUGUGGCCCUGGCAUAGGUUGGUGGUUACAGCUCCGAUUUGACGCCUAGCCUGGGAACCUCCCAUAUGCUGCGGGAGCGGCCCUAGAAAAGACAAAAAAAAAAAAAAAAAAAAAAAAAAAAAAAAAAAAAAAAGUUAAAGAGUCUGAAGAGAAUUGACAACUAAUUAUAACGCAUAGUUACAUUUAUCCUAGAUUAGCAAAACGGUAUUAUUGUAAAAACAAAGAGUAUUAUUGUAAAAGUAUGGAAAGUUUGAAUAUAACAUAAGCAAGAGGCUGGCAGAGGAUAUGAUAGAAGUGGGGGGAUCUGUCCUGGUGUCCUGGGAAGGCCCCAUAUAAUCCUGCUUGGUUAUACUGUAAACUGGUUUGAAUUGGGAUUUUUAAAAAUUACUAUUAGAGUUUCCGUAACUGAUACAGAGGAGUUUGGGGUAGCAGUCGGCUUUAGAGAGGAUGUAGUUGGGGGCUGGAGGAUUGUUUUUACGGAAGUUAUUUAAGAAUGAAACAAAAAUUGUUUGCAUUAAAGAAUGGAAAACAGCUUGAUAGCAACUGUUGGAAAAAGUGCCCCAUGGCACAGACACUAGGUGUGCUUUCUCCUUGAUAAUUAUUUUGACAGAGAGCUCAAAAUUCUCUAACACUGUUAGUUCAUUUAUUCAGCAAACAUUUAGCAAUUAUACCCAACAUGCCCAACUUUGUGCUUAAUUCUAGAAUUAAGUGCAUUGCCAUCCCUUAAUUAAUACAUAGAUAAUAAUUGCAAACUGUCUAAAUCUAUAAAAAAGUUAUAGAGCUAUAGUAUAGUUAGGCACAUGGUGGGAACUCUGGAAGACUAGAAAAAGUGUUCUUUCCCUCAAAUUUUACAGUUAGGUGAGUAACAGAUGAGUCAUAACAUAUGAGAGUGAACCAGAUGUAUAGGGAAAAUUUACAAAGACAUUGAGGAGGAAGAGCAUUCCAGGCAAGGAAAUACUACAUCAAAAAGCACUGAAGCAAGAGAAGCAUAAUUCCUUUAAUGAAAUGUUCAGGUUUCCAGAUAACAGAAACAUAGCAUAUAUAUAUAUCAGAGUAUAAGAGAAAUUGGAGCUUGCCGAGUGUCUUAUUUGGCAUUGAAACAGGCUGGACCUGCAACUGGGAUCUUUUGCUGCAGUGAUUGCACCUGGACAAAUAUCUCCUAGAGCAACAAAAUACAAAGAAAUUAUAAAGGACUAAAAAUAACUGCGUGCCUGCCGUAGUUGGAGUAAAUUUUGAGCAAAAAGAGACAAAACGACCAAAACUCAAAUGCCACUUCUGAGGUGUCCAGAGCAAAAGCAGGGUACUAUGCAUGAUCCCUGCACACAGUACCACCAAGGGGGUGGACAGACCUCUUAACCCACCUCUCAGGUUCAAUCCCUGGGUACAUCCCUACCCUCACCCCAUUUCAGGGACCAGCUUUGCCU
rnacentral:lncRNA from 1 species